rnacentral:rRNA from 1 species
UACGAGGGGUCCAAGCGUUGUUCGGAAUCAUUGGGCGUAAAGCGGGUGUAGGUGGCUUUGUAAGUCAGGAGUGAAAGCCCUGGGCUCAACCCAGGAAGUGCUUUUGAUACUGCAAAGCUUGAAUGUGGGAGAGGAUCGUGGAAUUCCAGGUGUAGUGGUGAAAUACGUAGAUAUCUGGAGGAACACCGGUGGCGAAGGCGGCGAUCUGGCCCAACAUUGACACUCAGACCCGAAAGUGCGGGGAUCAAACAGG